rnacentral:lncRNA from 1 species
CUCCAUUCAGAAAUAUUUAAUAAUCCCAUUCCAGAAUAAUGCAUUAAGGAGGAAAAGAAGCCACCACGUGGCUUUGGUCUGCCUGGAGGACUGGCACUCGAAUUCUCCAGAUGAAAGGCUCCCACUUUUAUCCCUGAAACUAAAGGACUUGAAGCCCAGCCUGAGCCGUGGUUUGGUGAUUAUAUGAUUAGGCAGCGAUGAUAACGCAUGUGGGAAAAGGUAUUUAUUGUGUGUGUGGGUUCCCCAUCGCUAUGGAAACAGAGCUCUUCCAUCGGAAUUCCUGAGUAUCCCGGGAUCCAACGGAGUGGGAAGUUUGGGAAUUUUCCAUACCUAUAUUAAAUGGAGGAAAAACAUUGGAAGUGAGAGGAGGACAACCACACCCCAAACCCUGAGGGGGUUCAGAUCAUUUCAUUGCAUGGUGAGAAUGGAAAAACAUAAAAAAAAAACAUUUAAAGCAUCAAAAAAACCAUUUAAAGCAUCAAAAAAACAUUUAAAGCAUCAAAAAAAACAUUUAAAUCUCACUGAAAAACCCCAUUUUGAGAUCCUAAAAUCUCAAUUCUCGGUGAUUUUUGUGUUUCUGCAGCUCAGUUUGGUCUUUUCUUAAAUCUGGAAUUCUCCUUAAAUUAAGGAAAUUUAAUUUCCUUAAAUCUGGAAUUCUCCUAGAGGGGAUAAAAAGGGAUGAAAUUCCCAAGAAUUGCAGAAUUCCAUGGAAAAAACAGGAAUCUCCAUAUGGCAGCCCUAAAUCCAGUUAGGAUGAGCAGCUGGAAUUAUAUUUAAUUGUUAUUUUUAAUAUUUCAGAUAUUAAAUGGAGGAAAAAUAUUGGAAGUGAGAGGAGGACAACCAGACCCCAAACCCUGAGGGGGUUCAGAUCAUUUUAUUGCAUGGUGAGAAUGGAAAAACAUCAAAAAAACAUUUAAAGCAUCAAAAAACCAUUUAAAGCAUCAAAAAAACAUUUAAAGCAUCAAAAAAACAUUUAAAGCAUCAAAAAAAACAUUUAAAUCUCACUGAAAAACCCCAUUCUGAGCUCCCAAAAUCUCAGUUUUUGUGAUUUUUGUGUUUCCUCAGGUGUGAUCCCACAUCCUCAGCGGAAUUUUGGGAAUUCCAGCCAGGAAUUCCUUCCCAAUAUCCCACCUAAACCUCCCCCUUGUCCAUUUUUAGGUUUUUCUGCAAUGGGUUUAAAGGAUUCCACCUCUUUUUACCCCAAAAAUCCCAAAUAACUCAACACUUGUUGUUUCCCAUUUUCCCGUGGCAAUACACUGAAUAAAUUUCUGAAUAAAAUCUGCCCAACCCCACAAAUCCAAUUUAUGGGAUCUGUGGCUCGAGGGGCCAAGACAAGGAGGGAUUUUUGGGUUUUUCUGCCAUGGGUUUAAAGGAUUUCACCUCUUUUUACCCCAAAAAUCCCAAAUAACUCAACACUUGUUGUUUUCCAUUUUCCCCUGGCAAUACACU